UCCUCCCCAAAUCUCUCCAAUUCGAAGCUUCUUUCUCGAUCUGGUAUGCUAUACUGCAAUUCUGUUUCCAGUUGAAACUUAUUGAUGGAUUAUGAUGAAUUUCUGAAACAAGCCUUUAGACUGAUAUGAUGUAGGUGCUUUGAACCAUGUCUUCAAGCGUAUCAUCUGCGAGUACACCAUCUUCUUAACAUCCUUGGAGUAGCCCCCGUGCUCCACCAUACUUCUACUGCCGUCAUCUUGUUCUCCCUCCUUCGUUCGUCCUCCACUCCUUGACUAGAACGAACGCCGUGCUCCACUGGAUCCCAUCGGCAUCAUUGUCGUCAUCUUCAUCUCUUCCUCUCCGGCACCAUCAUCUCAACAUCGAUGUCAAGGCUUUGAGACAACUGCACGGCUCUGCGGCUUCUUCACCCGCGACAACGUGGAGGCGAGGUCGUCGUUCAUCCCGGCAUCCUAAGCUCCAUCAUUUGCUGGCCUCCCGUGUCCGACCAAUGAGGCGAGCCAAAACUGCUUGUUGAAAUGUUUCUUAUGAAAAAUACGAAUAUAGCUGAGAUUCCAUGGGUCUAUAAUCGAAAUGUCUGCUCAAAUAUCUUAGUUGCAAUAUUUGCAGCAUGAAAUCUAUAUAUAUACAUAUGUAAGCAUCAAAUGUUUGUUGAAAUGUUUCUUAGAAUUAUCUUUUUUGGUUGAUAUGUUUGUAAGACCAGCUUAUCUAAAUGAGUAUAAUGUAUUUGCUGAAAUGUUAGUGUUAAGCUAUGUUUAUUUGCAUUUCACAUGAACUUUCGUAUGUGUAGGCUAUCAAAGAUAUUAUCAAAACAGUAGAUUCUGUACUAUGAUGUGAUUUCCCAGAUUGUUCAGAUAUAUUCCACAAAAUAUUUCAU
rnacentral:lncRNA from 1 species